CUACGGGAGGCAGCAGUGGGGAAUAUUGCACAAUGGGCGCAAGCCUGAUGCAGCAACGCCGCGUGGGGGACGAAGGCCUUCGGGUUGUAAACCUCUUUUAGUAGGGAAGAAGCGAAAGUGACGGUACCUGCAGAAAAAGCACCGGCUAACUACGUGCCAGCAGCCGCGGUAAUACGUAGGGUGCAAGCGUUGUCCGGAAUUAUUGGGCGUAAAGAGCUCGUAGGCGGUUUGUCACGUCUGCUGUGAAAAUCCAAGGCUCAACCUUGGACUUGCAGUGGGUACGGGCAGGCUAGAGUGCGGUAGGGGAGAUGGGAAUUCCUGGUGUAGCGGUGGAAUGCGCAGAUAUCAGGAGGAACACCAAUGGCGAAGGCACAUCUCUGGGCCGUAACUGACGCUGAGGAGCGAAAGCGUGGGGAGCGAACAGGAUUAGAUACCCGCGUAGUC
rnacentral:rRNA from 1 species